CGGUUGAUCCUACCGACCCGAACUGCUAGAGGAUUGGGACUUAGGUAUCCAAGUAGUGCGUGACAGUAAGUCACGCUGCAGAACGCUUCGUAACACGUUGCUAACUUACCCUCAAGUGGGGGGCAACCUCGGGAAACUGAGGCUAAUUCCCCCGUGAGACAAAAUCACCUGGAAUGGUAUAUUGUCAGAAGGUAUUACCUAUUACUGGUAUGUCCGCUCGAGGAUAGGGCUGCGGGCGAUUAGCUUGUAGGUGGGGUAAUGUCCCACCUAGGCGACGAUCGCUAGGGGCAAUGUGAGUUGUAGCCCCGAGACUAUCACUGAGACAAUGGAUAGGGGGAUAUGUCCUGCAGGAACCGCGAAAACGCCUCGAUGUACGAAAGUACGAGGGGGCCAAUCCUCGUGCUCUGUUUCCGCAGAGCUGUUGCCCAAGAUAAUACCAUUGGGUUAGAAAGUGGAGCGUAAGGCUGGUGCCAGCAGGCGCGGUAAAACCAGCUCCGCGAAUGGUUUGGAUUUUUAUUGAGCCUAAAACGUCUGUAGCUGGACUGGUUAGUUUGUGAUUAAAUCUUGUAGCUCAACUACAAGGCUGUUGCGAAUACUGCUAGUCUUGGGAAUGGAAGAGGUAAGCCGUACUCUGGGGUUAGGGGUGAAAUCCAUUGACCCUCAGGGGACGACCUAUGGCGAAGGCAGCUUACUGGGACAUCUCCGACAGUCAGUAGACGAAAGCUAGGGUAUCGACGCGGAUUAGAGACCCGUUUAGUCCUAGCCGUAAACGAUGAUUGCUUUGUGUUGCAAGCGAUUCGUUCGCUUGCAGUGCUGUAGGGAAGCCGUUAAGCGAUCUGCUUGGGAAGUACUAUCGCAAGGUAGAAACUUAAAGGAAUUGGCGGGGGUUCACCACCAGGCGAGGGGUGUGCGGUUUAAUUGAAUCCAACGCCGGGAAACUUACCUGGGAGUAUGGCUCGAUGAUAGUCAGAUUGAAGAUCUUACUUGAGAUGUCGGAGGCUUGUGCAUGGCCGUCUGAAAUUCGUAUCGUGAGACGUGCAGUUAAGUCUGCUAACGAAUGAGAUGCCCGUCCCUAAUUGCUAUUGCCCUGACUUCGGUUAGGCAGGAACCUUAGGGAGAUCGCUGUGAGCUAAUCCAGAUGAAAGUGGGCGCUACGACAGGUCAGUAUGCAGCAUGUUCCCAGGGCUACGCGCGCACCACAAUGGACAGGACAAUGGGCUACCGAUUUCGAAAGAAUGAGGCAAUCCGAUAAACCUGUUCACAGUUGGGAUUGGGGGCUGCAACCCGCCCCCAUGAACGUGGAUUGCCUAGCAAACGGGUGUCAACAUCGCCCGUUGAAUACGCCUCUGGAUCUUGCACACACCGCCCGUCGCUGGAACUGAAUUGGUGAGGGUUGAGGUGUAUGAUAUUGGAUGCGUACAUCGAAACUUUUUCCAGUAAAGAGCCAGAAGUCGUAACAAGGUA
rnacentral:rRNA from 1 species